CAGUGUGGGGGCAUAUGAGGCUCCAUCUCUCUCUCUCUGACUCUCUCUCUCUCUCUGACUCUCUCUCUCUUUCUUCCUCUCUCUUAUACAUAGAAUAGCCGUCAAUCCGUUGCUCAUAAGUCAUAGCCUCGAGAGACAGGCAGAUAGAGAGAGAGAGAGAGAGAGAGAGAGAGAUAAAACUCAGAACUUGAUAUUGUCAACAGUCAACACGAACAGCUCAUCAAAUUCUCUUUAGAAAAGAUAGUGGGUUGGUGAUUUGAAGAAAGAGGCAGGGGCAGAGGCAGAGCUUAAUUUAUGUAGCUGGGUAUUCCGGUUAUGUCUAUCGCCGGCGGCUGGAGGCUUUUGCAUUCUUCUCUGGUGGUGAUUUUGGUAAUUUCUGUUUUACAGAUUUGGGUCUGCUGCGACUGCAAAGCAGGCGCAAUACGGGUUUUCCCAGGACACACAAAUGUGUUAUCAAAGAUGGAGGCAGAGAGCAGCAACACGAUGCAGAGCAAGAGCAACAGAAGCAGAGAGGCCCUGUUCCAUAAGUACUUCGGUGGCAGUGUCAGAGCUUCUAACUUCAACAAAACAGAGCAAGGGUAUGAAGACAGCAAACGAAGAGUGCCCAGUUGCCCAGAUCAACUCCACAACUAAUUUAUGGAGGAUCCAGAAAUGGACAAUGAUGAUGAAUCAUGAUGUGCAGUGUACAGAGAGAAGUUGAGAAAUUUGGUUUUGCAGUGACCAGCUUAUAUUUUGUACUACCUGCUAUAUAGCUAGAAUCUCCGUAUCUACAACUUUUCAAGAUCCUCUCUUUCGUUUUUUAGCUUUUGCUUUUGGGAUCAGAAGAUCGAAUAUCAUAUGAGGAAGAGUGUGGCAGAAAAUUUGCAAAUUUA